AACAGCAUGGAGCCUGACCAGACUGCGCGGAUGCGCAGGCUGGUCUGGAUCCAUGCUGGUCGCAUACCCACUAUGUUGGUUUUCUCAUGGCACGGCUCAUAUAUUCUUGUGAGUAAUGUACAUCGAAUACAAAAACUGUUCUUGUGAGUAAUAUAUAUCAGUCACAAAAUGUAUACUUGUGAAUAAUGUACAUCGUUCUUGUGAGUAAUGUACACCGAUCACAAAGUGUAUUCUAGUUAUUAGAAUUUGUUACUUUUGCAUGUUCUCAUACAACGUCAUGACUAUUUCGUAUAAACGCUGAAUUAUGGUCGAUUACACACCCUGUCAGCUCGUGUUAUAUUAUCUCAUUGCGACAAACUAUACGUUGCCAUACAAUGACGCUUGGGAAAGUUUAUACUAGAAUGUGAUCAAUGCAUGACAUACUCACUAUGUGUUUCUUGCAUUUAGUAUUGUGAAUACUUCACACUUACAUUGUGAAAGGUACUUCAAACCUUUACGCACGUGACUGUGUGGACCAGAAAGGUCGUUUUGGCAAUAUAUGCCUUAGUGUACAACUGUCAUUGACAUUUACCCAUGAAAAUUCGUGCAAACAUUGACUUGUGCUAUCCUGAAAAUCGACACUGUAGAUAACGAUGUAACAAAGUUCAUAUACAGCUGUGCAGACUUCCAUACCUGCAUACAAGUCUGCGGUUUCAUCAAGCUACGUGCUUCAUCCAGAUGCAAAUACCUGUGUCUUGUAUAGUGUGGCUGGAAUUCCGACUUCACUGUUCGAUGCAGAAUACGAGAAUCUGUAUAUCGAGAAUGUGUAUAUAUGUUUAUUUAUUUUGUCUUUGUACAUAAAUUGAUCACUAUAUUACUGUCUUUAGCAUUCCGUAUGCUGUUAAAGUACAUUUAUAUACAACUGCUUAAUUGACAGCCAGUAACUUUCUGUUUAUUGAUAAGUACAUGUACGUUUUAAAACUUACUUUCACUCUGGAUAUGUACCCGUGCAGUACAAAUGUUUAUAUUUUAAUGUCAAGUAAAAGUAAAACUACAAAAGCAAGACGUGGUCAGAAAAACUUAAUUCCAUCACUUGCUAAACUUUGCGAACAUACUGACAAUAAGUUAUGGUCUUGUGAAUGUGUUUUAAUGACAUGCCGAAUAAUGAGACAUCAAAAGUGGAUGUCAUAUCCAUUAAAGUCAACGUGUCUGUGUGACAUGAGGUCAGUGAUGAGACUAUCUACAUGCUUAACCCACUAAAGCCCGAAUACCAGUAUGUCAUGUCGAAUGUUGAUACCAGCUGAGUGCCAUACCUGUUCACGUGAACUUACAGAAAUGCAAUGCCGAAUGAUGAUACUUUACCUAUAUAUACAUAUAUAUAUGUAUUAUAAGUAGUCAAAACUACAAAAACUUUUUUAACUUUACCUACAUGAAAUAACAACUGAGAUAUUGAUAACUAUAUAUUAUACCCAAAGUUAACGUAAAUGUUUUCUUGUGACAUAUUUCUGUACAUUUAGACUGGUUGCUAAUAUGUUUUAUGUAUAUAUUACAUUAGUUUAGUCAGCGUUAUUUUGAUUUUCACUUUUUUCACAAUCAUGUUUUGUUUUAUUUUGAAGUCAUAUUUUGUGCCAUAAUUUAAAUACAUUGAUUUAAGAUAUUAUUUUUGGUUUAUUUUUAUAGCACUCAAUUCAGAUCAGUCCUAUGAAUUAGUGUGAAUAAGUUGUCAAGGACCUACAGUGCUUUCACAUAAACUCGUCAGUCAGUUCAACAUUUUAGAAACUUUGUUUUCUGCAAUGCAAACCUGAUAAUGGUAUGCUCAGAUAACUUUUUGAAAUUCAAAUAAUAGUAUAACAUUAGCAACCGUUUCCAUACGGUUUGCUCAGUAGUUAGAGUACAAAAAUGUCUCGAGGGGUCCCAUUACGUGACAUGGUCUUCCACUGACCAGGAGACUGUGCGGAAGAAAAACCACGUUUAAACUAAGUGAGUAUUGCUGAUUAUAACGCAGGUAAUGUCGUCAUCGACUCACAGAGAUAAUAGGACAGUUUUUAUGUAGAUGUUUUGUCAAACACCAUUUGGAAGUUGUAGAUUAAUGAAACAAAGGCCACAGAAAUGUCCGGUCGCCUGUGGCUUGAUCUUCAAGAUAUACAAACGAUUCGCAAAUGGACCAGACUCGCUAAAAUCAACGAAGGUUGAGGGGAAAAACCGAAAAGUCCAAGAUUCGACGUUAACGUAAAUGUAUGACGUCUUGGAUUAAGACUACUCAUCGUGCACACUCUGUCUAAGAUGUUUGGCAUAAUUGUUCAUACAUUUUUCAGUAUUCUGACCUAAAACAGAAAUUAAUGCAAACUUAAUGAAAGCAUCUCGUUGAAGCCGAGACGUCGUUAACGUCGAUAUAAUGUUAUUACCGUGUGCCGAUUUCGUGUAAGUGUCUGUUUUAGAAAAAUCAUAACCUCUAACUGUAUGACCAUAAUCAUUUCAAAUGUGCAGAGAAUUUAGUAGAAAGAUUGCGAAUUGUGAUGAUGUAUUCCUAGUUUUGCGUCAUGAAAGUAUCUAAAAGCUAGAGUCAAAGACUACGUUAUUUUUGAACAGCCCUCGUAUGCACAACUGAUCUUGGCAGACUACAUUUGAGCAGAAUUAAAAGUUUAACGAAAGUGAAACCGUUUUAAUAAAACCUACCCUUAAAAUCACAUUUUAGUAUUUCAAUUUGUGUGUUAAAGAUUUUAUACAUCUGUUUAAAUGUUCUCAUGUUGUUAUAAAUAUAUAAGCCCUGUUGAUUU
rnacentral:lncRNA from 1 species